rnacentral:rRNA from 1 species
AUUGAACGCUGGCGGCAUGCUUUACACAUGCAAGUCGAACGGCAGCGCCGGCUUCGGCCUGGCGGCGAGUGGCGAACGGGUGAGUAAUGCAUCGGAACGUGCCCAGUAGUGGGGGAUAGCCCGGCGAAAGCCGGAUUAAUACCGCAUACGACCUGAGGGUGAAAGCGGGGGACCGAAAGGCCUCGCGCUAUUGGAGCGGCCGAUGUCGGAUUAGCUAGUUGGUGGGGUAAAGGCUUACCAAGGCGACGAUCCGUAGCUGGUCUGAGAGGACGACCAGCCACACUGGGACUGAGACACGGCCCAGACUCCUACGGGAGGCAGCAGUGGGGAAUUUUGGACAAUGGGGGCAACCCUGAUCCAGCCAUGCCGCGUGCGGGAAGAAGGCCUUCGGGUUGUAAACCGCUUUUGUUCGGGAAGAAAUCCUCUGGGCUAAUACCCCGGGGGGAUGACGGUACCGGAAGAAUAAGCACCGGCUAACUACGUG